UACGUAGGGUGCGAGCGUUAAUCGGAAUUACUGGGCGUAAAGCGUGCGCAGGCGGUGAUGUAAGACCGAUGUGAAAUCCCCGGGCUUAACCUGGGAACUGCAUUGGUGACUGCAUCGCUCGAGUAUGGCAGAGGGGGGUAGAAUUCCACGUGUAGCAGUGAAAUGCGUAGAGAUGUGGAGGAAUACCGAUGGCGAAGGCAAUCCCCUGGACCUGUACUGACGCUCAUGCACGAAAGCGUGGGGAGCAAACAGG
rnacentral:rRNA from 1 species